AUGGCAGCCCGCAGUCAAACUGUGUCUGUGCAUGAAUCAGAAAAUCAGCUCCUCCCAUGUCCAGUAAGUAAAUAUUUACAGGCUAUCAGCUCAGGGAAAUGCCAAAUUAUUGGCCUGCCCAAAAUGUUCAUAGCUUUUGAUCUGGCCCCAGAGGAUUACCUUAUUUUAAGAGACUCACAAAGCAGCUUUUACAGAGAGGACAAGAACUUUUCUGAGAAGUUCUUAGGAAUCUUAUCAUAAGAAUAUUUUAUCGUAACCUGCAAAGAGGACUCCAAGGGAUUGCUAUUUGGAGCAAAGAAAAAUUCAGGCACCGCUGAGCCCUGCUCACACUUCUGUCACCCCUGGUAAGUAACAACCCAUACUCAGAUCUGAAAUCAAUCCAUCUACUCUUCAGCCCUUGGAGUAGUUCCUGUGUCUGAGUUCUUUCUUGGUGGCCUCGGACCCUAGCACAGAGCACAAAUGAGGUACUCAGUAACUGUUCUGAAGGAACAUUUGCAUAAGUGAGAAAAUCUAGUCCCCUUCCCUCUUCUCAAUGUCCAAUCCUCCCAAAAGAAACUGGAACUCUAUCUGGCACAAUAUUGUGUAACAAUUCAAAAUGAAUACUUUGAAGAGAACUGUAAACAAG
rnacentral:lncRNA from 1 species